rnacentral:rRNA from 1 species
GUGGCAAGCGUUGUCCGGAUUUAUUGGGCGUAAAGCGAGUGCAGGCGGAUCAAUAAAGAUGAUGGUGAAACCUUCGGCUCAACCGGAGAAUUGCAUCAGAAACUGUUGAACUUGAGUGCAGAAGAGGAGAGUGGAACUCCAUGUGUAGCGGUGGAAUGCGUAGAUAUAUGGAAGAACACCAGUGGCGAAGGCGGCUCUCUGGUCUGCAACUGACGCUGAGGCUCGAAAGCAUGGGUAGCGAAC